rnacentral:rRNA from 1 species
GCAGUCGACGGGAUCUCCGGUAAGCUUGCUUAUUGGUAGUGAGAGUGGCGCACGGGUGCGUAACGCGUGAGCAACCUACCCUUGUCAGGGGGAUAGCCCGGCGAAAGUCGGAUUAAUACCGCAUGACAUCAUUGAGAGGCAUCUUUCGAUGAUCAAAGAUUUAUCGGACAAGGAUGGGCUCGCGUGACAUUAACUAGUUGGUAAGGUAACGGCUUACCCAGGCUACGAUGUCUAGGGGCUCUGAGAGGAGAAUCCCCCACACUGGUACUGAGACACGGACCAGACUCCUACGGGAGGCAGCAGUAAGGAAUAUUGGUCAAUGGACGGAAGUCUGAACCAGCCAUGCCGCGUGCAGGAAGACGGCCCUAUGGGUUGUAAACUGCUUUUAUACGGGAACAAACGUCGGCACGUGUACCGGUCUGAGUGUACCGUAAGAAUAAGGAUCGGCUAACUCCGUGCCAGCAGCCGCGGUAAUACGGAGGAUCCGAGCGUUAUCCGGAAUUAUUGGGUUUAAAGGGUGCGUAGGCGGCCAAAUAAGUCAGGGGUGAAAGUCGGCAGCUCAACUGUCGCAGUGCCUUUGAUACUGUUUGGCUUGAAUUCGGUUGAAGAUGGCGGAAUGAGUCAAGUAGCGGUGAAUGCAUAGAUAUGUCUCAGACCCCGAUUGCGAGGCAGUAUCUAAGCG